UCGGCUCAGAUUGAACGCUGGCGGCAUGCCUUACACAUGCAAGUCGAACGGCAGCACGGGAGCAAUCCUGGUGGCGAGUGGCGAACGGGUGAGUAACACAUCGGAACGUGCCCAAUCGUCGGGGGAUAACGUAGCGAAAGCUACGCUAAUACCGCAUACGAUCUACGGAUGAAAGCGGGGGAUCGCAAGACCUCGCGCGAAUGGAGCGGCCGAUGGCAGAUUAGGUAGUUGGUCGGGGUAAAGGCUCACCAAGCCGACGAUCUGUAGCUGGUCUGAGAGGACGACCAGCCACACUGGGACUGAGACACGGCCCAGACUCCUACGGGAGGCAGCAGUGGGGAAUUUUGGACAAUGGGCGCAAGCCUGAUCCAGCAAUGCCGCGUGCAGGAUGAAGGCCUUCGGGUUGUAAACUGCUUUUGUACGGAACGAAACGGCGAGCUCUAAUACAGUUUGCUAAUGACGGUACCGUAAGAAUAAGCACCGGCUAACUACGUG
rnacentral:rRNA from 1 species